ACCAAAGUGAAGACGAUGAUGAAGAUGAGGAGUUGGCCCUUAUUACCUAAAAAUUUAGAAGAUUCAUGAAGAAGAAAAGGCAAGGAGAUAGAAGGAAAGUCCAAGGAAAAAGAGAAUCCACCAAGGAAAAAGGAAAAGUGGCAAGCAAGGAGAAAGCAAAGGACCAAAAUGUCAUAUGCUAUGAAUGUAAGAAGCCUGGCCAUUACAAAUCUAAAUGUCCACUACUCAAGAAGGCCCCCA
rnacentral:lncRNA from 1 species